rnacentral:rRNA from 1 species
GUGCCAGCAGCCGCGGUAAUUCCAGCUCCAAUAGCGUAUAUUAAAGUUGUUGCGGUUAAAAAGCUCGUAGUCUGAGUUCAGUUCCGGACUGGUCGGGGAGGUCACCGCCCGGUGCUUGCCCGUAUCAGGUUCCGAACCGCCCACCCGCCGCGUGCGGGGGCCAAGCCGGUUCAGCCGGGGUGCUCUUGACCGAGUGUCCCGCGCGGCCGGCCGCUUCACCUUGAACAAAUGAGAGUGCUCAAAGCAGGCUACUCUUGACACUAAAGCCCGAAUGUUAACUGCAUGGAAUGAUGGAAGAUGAUCUCGGUUCCAUUUUGCUGGGCCCCUUUGGGAAUCCGAGUUAAUGAUAAACAGGGACUGUCGGGGGCAUCCGUACUACGACGCGAGAGGUGAAAUUCAGUGACCGUCGUAGGACGAACAACAGCGAAAGCAUUUGCCAAGAAUGUCUUCGUUGAUCAAGAACGAAAGUUAGAGGAUCGAAGGCGAUCAGAUACCGCCCUAGUUCUAACCCUAAACGAUGCUGACCAGCUAUUCGUUAGCGUUAUUCCCAUGACGUGGCGAGACGCCCCCGGGAAACCUCGAGUCUUUGAGUUCCGGGGGUAGUAUGGUUGCAAAACUGAAACUUAAAGGAAUUGACGGAAGGGCACCACCAGGAGUGGAGCCUGCGGCUUAAUUUGACUCAACACGGGAAACCUCACCAGGCCCGGACAC